rnacentral:rRNA from 1 species
CCGUGGAGGGUCAAUCGCAACUGGAGACUGAGUGCAGAAGACGAAAGUGGAAAUUUCAAUGUGUAGCGGUGAAAUGCGUAGAGAUAUGGAGGAACACCCAGUGGCGAAGGGCGACUCUCUGGUCUGUAACUGACACUGAGGCGCGAAAGCGUGGGGAGCAAACAGGAUUAGAUACCCUGGUAGUGCACGCCGUAAACGAUGAGUGCUAAGUGUUAGAGGGUUUCCGCCCUUUAGUGCUGAAGUUAACGCAUUAAGCACUCCGCCUGGGGAGUACGGCCGCAAGGCUGAAACUCAAA